GUACUCAUGCGUGUUCGAAGUUCUUCAUGCUCAGUUGAUCCGUGGUGUUGCUCGUGUCAGUGAUGUUUCCUGCUCCUUAGUAUUCUCUUGUAGCAGUGUACAACCGCUUAGCUGUUGGUCACGAUGGGCAUUCUGCUGUUUUGCUUUAUUGUGAGUAAAGCUGCUCUCUACAAAUUAUUCAUUCUGUUAUAGACGCACUGCUUACUGUAUCCUAAGUGAUUAAGGCCGACCCCUGCUGUAUGUGGACCGUAAUAUGAAACCUAAAAUCUCCCUAACUGUUUUCCAAAGUUACCCUUCCGUUGUGUUCAGCAGUUGCUGGACCGUGCUCGUUUUCUCACCCCUCUGUCAGUCUUGGCAUUGUCCAUCUUUCUCGGUUAGCCGGGCUCAUGGAUGUUGUGUUCUGGUGAUGUGGGGCUUCAUUUCUUCCUUUUUUCCCUUUUUGACACAGGGUCAUGUGUUCUACUAAGCCAGCUUUGAACUUGCAGUGUAGGUGGCGAUGAACUUGAACUACUGAUCUCCCUUUUUUCCUCCCUUCAGGUUUUGAGAUUAUAGGUGGUGUGGACCAUCACACCUGGUUCAUACGAUGCUGGGGAUUGAGCCCCGGGGUCGGUAAGCACUUCCGGUUGACCUGACUCCCAGUACCUGGUGCUGUUUUUUGUGAAUGUUCUUGGCAUUAUCUUUUGGGGAGAAGUAUAGAUCCAAAUUUCCCCAUUUUAAAUUUUGAUUUCCUUACUCAGUUGUAUAACUAACACUGGAUAAGAAUUCCUUAUGAGUUACUGUUGUGAAUAUUUUCUCUCCCGUAGUUUUCUUCAAACACUAUUCAGAAAGUAGACACUUUAGACUUUGAUGAAGGCCAGUAUAUACAUUUUUCUUUUCCUUUUUCAGUUGUACUUAUGUGGUGAGAGAUCCUCUAAGUCACAAAGAAUUUCUAUAUUUUCUACUAUAUAUUUUUAGUUUUAGCUUUUUGUGACUAGUUUUGUUGUUUGUUAAGUUCAUUUUAUAUGUAUUUAUAUGUAAUACAUAGUAAAAAUUGAGGUUCAGUUUUUGAUGUCUAGCACUGCUCAUAGAAAAACAAUUUGUCUCUACCUGACAUAGGCUUAUCUUGUACUUGGGAGCAGAGGCACCGUUGUGGCUUCCAGGACAGCUCAAAUAAUAAGCAAGUAUAUAUGUAAAUAAAUAAAUAAAUAAAUAAAUAAAUAAAUAAAUAAAGUAAAUU
rnacentral:lncRNA from 1 species